rnacentral:misc_RNA from 1 species
GAUGAAGAACGUAGCGAAAUGCGAUAAGUAAUGUGAAUUGCAGAAUUCAGUGAAUCAUCGAAUCUUUGAACGCACAUUGCGCCCCCUGGUAUUCCGGGGGGCAUGCCUGUCCGAGCGUCAUUACAACCCUCAAGCUCAGCUUGGUGUUGGGCCCCGCCGCCCCGGCGGGCCCUAAAGUCAGUGGCGGUGCCGUCCGGCUCCGAGCGUAGUAAUUCUUCUCGCUCUGGAGGUCCGGUCGUGUGCUCGCCAGCAACCCCCAAUUUUUUUCAGGUUGACCUCGGAUCAGGUAGGGAUAGCCGCUGAACUUAAGCAUAUCAAUAAGCGGAGGA